rnacentral:lncRNA from 1 species
AAACAGAACCCGGAAGGAACAGGGUUUCUAUUACUGAAUGCCGAUUCUCACUGCAGAACAAGGCAUUCAUGCGUCCCAGCCACCAUAGGGCGGUGGGAGCUUUUGGUGAUAGCAUUCUCUAUUUCAAGAGACUGGGUUUUAGUAUCAGGCUCGUCUAGCAGAGUCUCAGCAAUGGUUUCGCCAAUGGCAAUGGCUUCAAAGAUAAGUGCAUUCACCUCACGGAACCUCUCCUCAGAGAGAGAAACCUCUGCAAGGAGCCUCCAAGCAUUUUCAUCAGAUGCCUCGUCGUAGUCCUUCCUCCUUUUUAACACCAUAUGACCACUAAUUUCCCACACAGCUGGGUUCACCUGGGUGUCCAAUAGCUCUGGACUCACUUCCCCAAGAGCUUGUUUCUCAGCAUAACACUGUUUGUUCAAUUCACAAAUUGCAAAUUCAAUUGUAAGCACUAGCAGCAUCAUGGAGAUAAUAACAAUGCGUCAAUCAUGGUUCUAGUUUGUUACCUGUGGAAGGAGAAAGAUCCGCUUUCCACAGUCAGAGAUGAGGACAUUGUAUGGUAUGUUGUUAUCUUGAAGGCAAAUGCAGGCAUCAGAG